rnacentral:rRNA from 1 species
AGUGAACGCUGGCGGCAGGCCUAACACAUGCAAGUCGAGCGGAUGAAGGGAGCUUGCUCCUGGAUUCAGCGGCGGACGGGUGAGUAAUGCCUAGGAAUCUGCCUGGUAGUGGGGUAUAACGUCCGGAAACGGGCGCUAAUACCGCAUACGUCCUGAGGGAGAAAGUGGGGGAUCUUCGGACCUCACGCUAUCAGAUGAGCCUAGGUCGGAUUAGCUAGUUGGUGGGGUAAAGGCCUACCAAGGCGACGAUCCGUAACUGGUCUGAGAGGAUGAUCAGUCACACUGGAACUGAGACACGGUCCAGACUCCUACGGGAGGCAGCAGUGGGGAAUAUUGGACAAUGGGCGCAAGCCUGAUCCAGCCAUGCCGCGUGUGUGAAGAAGGUCUUCGGAUUGUAAAGCACUUUAAGUUGGGAGGAAGGGCAGUAAGUUAAUACCUUGCUGUUUUGACGUUACCCACAGAAUAAGCACCGGCUAACUUCGUG